rnacentral:rRNA from 1 species
AGACCUCAGGUCAGGCGGGGCUACCCGCUGAGUUUAA